rnacentral:rRNA from 6 species
CACACGACUCUCGGCAACGGAUAUCUCGGCUCUCGCAUCGAUGAAGAACGUAGCGAAAUGCGAUACCUGGUGUGAAUUGCAGAAUCCCGCGAACCAUCGAGUCUUUGAACGCAAGUUGCGCCCGAGGCCACUCGGCCAAGGGCACGCCUGCCUGGGCGUCACGC